rnacentral:lncRNA from 1 species
AUGCAGAUGAGAAGAGUUUCUGUGCCAGGGGCAAAGGCAGCCUCUCAUAAGAAGGCUUUCCUCUGGAAAAGAAGCAGUUUGAGUCCUGGAUCAGCACUAGAGUGCAGUGCACAAGGGAUGUUCAUCAGAGCUACUCGAGUCUGGCGGUGCUUCCCCACAUUUUCUUCAGCCAUGUUCAGCCUCCAGGAGUCCCAUAUUGAGCAGUGGAGAUCUUCAUUUAAUGAGAUGUGCUAAAUAAGUUGGACUGAAAAGGGCAAUUUUAUGUGUUGGACUUCCAUUUUGAAGAAGAACCUGUGGAUUGGCAUGUUUCUAUACAUUAAGUCAUCUAGAUCAGUGGAAUACAAAGAUGCUUUCUUCAAGGUGACUUCCAUGCUACUGAAAGCAAUCACUUUCUUCCUACAAAUACACCUCCCAGUGAUCAGGUAUUCUCAAUCAAUUGUUUAGGAAGUUUUACUACUCAUCAGUAUGAAAAUACAUUGGUGUACUGCUCUACUAGGAAUACAUCUGGUCCAACACAUAAUUUAUUACCUCUCCUCAAGAGUCAGCUCUGGCUAGUGUCCAUUAAGUUGUAUGUUCUGAGCCCAUUAUCAUUACUUAGGUAACACUAAACAUAACCAUAAGAAAACUAAACUGAAAAGCUUUCAAGGAAAAAAAAAAGUGCUUUGUUUCUACCUCUUUCUAAGUAAAAGGGUUUAAAGGUGUUGAUCCUUUGGGUAUAAUUGUUUAGAUGUAGUGUUUUGUGUUCCUAGGUAGGAUGCCCUCAAUAUACAUAAUAUGAAUUUAGCACUGUCAUCAAAUUUUCUUUUAAUGCAGUAAAAAUUCUUGGAUGGCAGCCAGCCUCUUUACCUCAUAAAAAAACAGCCUCUCUGAUUGCCUAUGUUGUAGAAACUGAAUAAUAUGUUACAACAUAGUGACUAAAAGAUGAGUAAACUGGCUGAGAACACACCCUCCACACAUGCAAAAUUUGGUCCCACUCACUGCUUGUUUGACAUUAUUGAUGAAGAUGUGUUUUUUCUCCCAGAGAUAAACAUGGCUCCAUAGGCCAAAUUCUUUUUUGAUUUACAUGCAAUGCACACUCUCUGGGCUAACUAAUUAGAAUGUGCUCCUUUACCAUAUCGUGCUUUAGAAAAAUUAUCUUUUUCUAUCAUAUAUCUUAGAAAUAAGGUAUUUCACUUUGGGAUGGUGAUGUGCUCUUGUGCAUGCCAGCAAAACCUGUCAUCAGCCAGGCUGAUAAAAAUUAAACCAAGAAAAACAUGUAAGUAUUCAUGUAGGUCAUUAUUCAUGUAGGUCAUAGUCUGGAAAAAUAAUCCACAAAAUUGUACUGAAUUUUCUUUUCUGCCUCCAUCCCCAGUUCAGUUACUGCAACAGAACUGAGGGCCUUACUUGAUAAUUUUUCAUUAUAAAAAACUCUGAGAUUACAACAGGUGACUGUUGGAAGGAAGAUGGAUCUUAUAUUCAGCUAAAGUGGUUAUUUCAACCUUUUUUGACCAGCAUCACCUGCAAGAGGUUAUGUCCUAAUAUUUAAUAAACUUCAACCUCAUAGCA